rfam:Triticum urartu cultivar G1812 contig1138182, whole genome shotgun sequence.
UUUCUUACCUGAACCAUUUCAGGGCAGAAAAAGAGCGAAAUUGUCAUUUUGCCGGAUUGAGCAGACACGCAGCAAUGGCGUAAGACGUAAUGCGAAAUCAGGCACUUAGCGGGCUGCGGGUUGCGGCCUGGACAACAGUAUGGGAUGCACGGGUUUUCUUUAUUCUCUCAGGCAUUUCCACUAUCUGGUGCUGUUUUCCCUUAUGAAAAACAGGCCACCGACGUUAUUUGCGCCCCUCGCGCGGUCGACAGCCGUGAGGUUGACGACAUUGCACUAAGUCACGGGGCCAUCGGUUGAUACUCGUCCAGGGUAACUAUGCCCGCAGCUGUAAUCACUCA